UUCUGAUCUGUCGGUUCGACUCCCUCCCGUCGGCCCUGAGACACCUUCCCCGGUCCCAGGUCUCACGGAGGGGAAUCAGACCGACAGGCCGGAUCGAA
rfam:Marine metagenome 1096626838643, whole genome shotgun sequence.